GAAACGGCAACCACAUCUAAGGAAGGCAGCAGGCGCGCAAAUUACCCAAUCCUGAUUCAGGGAGGUAGUGACAAGAAAUAACAACACUGGAAAUUUCAUUUCUAGUGAUUGGAAUGAUGGGAAUCCAAACCCCUUUCAGAGUAACAAUUGGAGGGCAAGUCUGGUGCCAGCAGCCGCGGUAAUUCCAGCUCCAAUAGCGUAUAUUAAAGUUGUUGCAGUUAAAAAGCUCGUAGUUGGAUUUCUGCUGGAAGCAGCCAGUCCGCCCUUAGGGGUGUGUACUUGGUGAAAUUCCGGCAUCCUCCUGGUAGCGCUUCACACUUAACUGGGUGGAGUGUUUUUCCAGGACUUUUACUUUGAGAAAAUUAGAGUGUUUCAAGCAGGCUUGUUGCCUUGAAUACUGCAGCAUGGAAUAAUAAGAUAGGAUUUCGGCCCUAUUUUGUUGGUUACUUGGACUGAA
rnacentral:rRNA from 1 species